ensembl:lincRNA
CUUGGUUUUUUUCGUUGAGGCGGAAGUUGUGCAACAUGAAAUCGUCCGACGGCGUGGGGCGCGGGGACGGCCGCCUCCGCUGCAGCCAGACACCCCUCCUCUUUCUUGUCUUCAGCAGAAGGUGGCGUGAAAAAGGAGGGGAGAAGCAGAGACGCCAAAAAGAGACGCCUAGCGAAGAAGGGCAGGAAGGGCAGCUUCCCCCGGGUCAUCCCCCCCGACUGCGUCAUAGUCGACUCAGACAACUUCAAGUGUAUCCUUUGAUGGACGUGGGGGCGGAGGGCCCAGACCCCGCCCCAUGCUCCUGUUUCUCCUUAACUGGAACUCAGUCAUCGUGGACCCGUGUGAGGAGGCCCAGGGCCCAGGUGGGUGCUGCACAGGGCUCCCCGCUCAGGCACACGCUGGCCUCCGCCUCCUGCUGGCCUGCGGUGGUGGGUAGCAGCUGGUACCCGCCUCCUUGAGGUGCUGAAAUCAGCAUACGUGCUUGCCCUGUUUCGGCUUUAAAUAUUUUAAUUUGUUGGGGUUUUCUCUCUUGCUAGCCUGGUUCUACCAUAACCCUACUGGCGCAUGGCAGGGCACUGACAUAUCCGCCCGCCUUCGCUGUGACCCCUCCCCAGGGACCCCGGCCCUGCGCACCCGUGUGUGACAGAGCACGUCAUGUGUCUCCGCCCCAUUCUCCUUGUAGAAAUGCUGACUCCUGUCUCCAUCACCCAAGAAAUUUUGGAAAGAUUCCAAGACACAUUCACGUCGCGAUGGGUGGGACAUCUGGGAAGCAGGCAGUUUCCCAGCCAGGCCCAGUGGGAGCAGGCCCUGGGCAGCUGCAGCGGCUUCUUCUUCUAUGGGAUGGAGCACUUCCUGUCCCAUGUAGUAGUGGAGAGAUUGGUCGCCAUGAACUUGCAAGAGUGCCAGGUGCUGGUCCUGCUGGACCUGGCUCGGUCCUACCAGAGCAUGAGGCGGCACGUGGAGAGCUCGGAGUACAGGAGCGCCUCAAAGCCGUCCCUGGAGGAUCCUGUCGACGUGGCCAUCCUGCUGAGCCUGGUGGGGGUCAAGAGCAUCCUGGAGAACCAGUGGUCCACACUGCUGCAGGACAACGCGCUGCGGGCCAGCGUCCUUUGGGAAAAUCUGUUGGCCGUCGGGAAGCCAGUUGGAGAAACGGUGCGCCUCCUUCAGGAGAUGAGCGGCGAUGAGGCGGUGAACCAAGGUGAGGGGGGCGGCCGGCACGUCCUUCAGCGCCCUCCGCAGCCACUGCCCGUGGGACACGUGCUCCCCACAGCCCUCCAGGGACACGUGUCUCGGCUUCCCCGUGGGGAACUGGGAUUCCAGACACUAGCUAGGAGCCAGAAAGAGGAGGGCUUGUUCUCGCCUGGAAGUUGCCUGCGUCUCUGCACUGCCCCAGCCCCCCGCAGUGGCGCAAGCCUCAGCAGUGACGCCCGCAAUGCCGUGGCUCCGGAACCCAGAGGGAAAGCGUCGCGGUCAUCAGAGACCGCGACAGCUCCAGUCACGCGAACCCCACGAGCCUGGGGCUCUCUGGGAACCAGUGAGAAAUCCAGGGGGCAGCUGUGCCAGGCCCCUCCCACAGCGAGGGCCGGACAUCCCCUGGAUGUGGCCAGGAGUCCCCCCCUGGGAAGAGGCCUCCUGGAAGAGGAAUGCAUGGGCCGAGGGUGGAGAGCAGCCUGACUGUCACAUCACACCCAGCGCCUGUCCCUCUCACGGCCUCACAGGGGAAACGUCGGGAAGGGGCACAGGACAUGGUCUGUUCUCAAACACGGACAGGCGGAACCCCACCCACUCAUCCUUCAGAGUCAGCAAAACCCUCCUGCCGUGGUGGGGGGAAGCGCAGAGAGGAGCUUCACGGGACCCUGAGUCGAAGCGCUCAGCAGCGCACGGAAGGGGUGGUCUGCCCCGCCUA